AUUGAACGCUGGCGGCAGGCCUAACACAUGCAAGUCGAACGAGGGGCGGACGGGUGAGUAAUGUCUGGGAAACGGCCUGAUGGAGGGGGAAAAGUACUGGAAACGGUAGAUAAUACAGCAUAACAUGAGCUGUGCCCAGAUGGGAUUAGCUAGUUGGUGGGGUAACUGCUCACCCAGGCGACGAUCCCUAGCUGGUCUGAGAGGAUGACGGGCCACACUGGAACUGAGACACGGUCCAGACUCCGACGGGAGGUAGCAGUGGGGAAUAUUGCACAAUGGGCGCAAGCCUGAAGCAGCCAUGCCGCGUGUAUGAAGAAGGCCUUCGGGUUGUAAAGUACUUUCAGCGGGGAGGCGUUACCCGCAGAAGAAGCACCGGCUAACUCCGUGCCAGCAGCCGCGGUAAUA
rnacentral:rRNA from 1 species